AAUGAACGUUGGCGGCGUGGAUUAGGCAUGCGAGUCGUGCGAGAAUCGUAGCAAUACGAGGACAGCGGCGUAAGGGAGAGGAAUAAGUAGAAAUCUACCCUCGGGUCGGGGAUAGCGGCGGGAAACUGCCGGUAAUACCCGAUAACGUCUUUGGACCAAAGGUGUGAUUCCGUCUGAGGAUGAGUCUACUUCCUAUUAGCUAGGUGGCGGGGUAAUGGCCCACCAAGGCGACGAUGGGUAGCAGGUGUGAGAGCAUGACCUGCCUCAUUGGGACUGAGACACUGCCCAGACACCUACGGGUGGCUGCAGUCGAGAAUCUUCGGCAAUGGACGAAAGUCUGACCGAGCGACGCCGCGUGCGGGAUGAAGGCCUUCGGGUUGUAAACCGCUGUCGUAGGGGAACAAAUGUAUGAGGGUACUCCCUUGCAUUUGAGUGAUCCUAGGAGGAAGGAGAGGCUAAGCUCGUGCCAGCCGCCGCGGUAAUAC
rnacentral:rRNA from 1 species